rnacentral:sRNA from 1 species
AAAAUGAGAUUUUAGGUAGACAUACCUAUAGGUACCAGAUAGUAAAUAUUUGGACAGCAAAACAACAAAACUGUCUUCUUUUAAGGUACCAGCAGACAGGUGUUAGGUGGCUGUGGGAAUUGCACUGCCAGCAGGCAGGAGGAAUUCUGGGAGAUGAAAUGGGAUUGGGCAAGACCAUCCAGAUAAUUGCCUUCUUGGCAGGUCUGAGCUACAGCAAGAUCAGGACUCGUGGUUCAAAUUACAGGAGAAACUAAUUCGAGAUGUUGCUCAUUGUCAUGGAAUUUUGAUCACAUCUUACUCCUACAUUCGAUUGAUGCAGGAUGACAUUAGCAGGUAUGACUGGCACUAUGUGAUCUUGGACGAAGGACACAAAAUUCGAAAUCCAAAUGCUGCUGUCACCCUUGCUUGCAAACAGUUUCGCACCCCUCAUCGGAUCAUUCUGUCUGGCUCACCGAUGCAAAAUAACCUCCGAGAGCUGUGGUCGCUCUUUGACUUCAUCUUCCCGGGAAAGUUAGGCACGUUGCCUGUGUUUAUGGAGCAGUUCUCCGUCCCCAUCACCAUGGGGGGAUAUUCAAAUGCUUCCCCAGUACAGGUCAAAACUGCUUACAAGUGUGCAUGUGUCUUACGAGAUACCAUAAAUCCAUACCUACUGCGGAGAAUGAAGUCAGAUGUCAAGAUGAGCCUUUCUUUGCCAGAUAAAAAUGAACAGGUCUUAUUUUGCCGUCUUACAGAUGAGCAGCAUAAAGUCUACCAAAAUUUCGUUGAUUCCAAAGAAGUUUACAGGAUUCUCAAUGGAGAGAUGCAGAUUUUCUCCGGACUUAUAGCCCUAAGAAAAAUUUGCAACCACCCUGAUCUCUUUUCUGGAGGUCCCAAGAAUCUCAAAGGUCUUCCUGAUGAUGAACUAGAAGAAGAUCAGUUUGGGUACUGGAAACGUUCUGGGAAAAUGAUUGUUGUUGAAUCUUUGUUGAAAAUAUGGCACAAGCAGGGUCAGCGAGUAUUGCUGUUUUCUCAGUCAAGGCAGAUGCUGGACAUACUUGAAGUAUUCCUUAGAGCCCAAAAGUAUACCUAUCUCAAGAUGGAUGGUACCACUACAAUAGCUUCAAGACAGCCACUGAUUACAAGAUACAAUGAGGACACAUCCAUAUUUGUGUUUCUUUUGACCACGCGGGUGGGCGGCUUAGGUGUCAACCUGACGGGGGCAAACAGAGUUGUCAUCUAUGACCCAGACUGGAACCCAAGCACGGACACGCAGGCCCGGGAGCGAGCAUGGAGAAUAGGCCAGAAGAAGCAAGUGACUGUGUACAGGCUCCUGACUGCGGGCACCAUUGAAGAAAAGAUCUACCACCGACAAAUCUUCAAGCAGUUUUUGACAAAUAGAGUGCUAAAAGACCCAAAACAAAGGCGGUUUUUCAAAUCCAAUGAUCUCUAUGAGCUAUUUACUCUGACUAGUCCUGAUGCAUCCCAGAGCACUGAAACAAGUGCAAUUUUUGCAGGAACUGGAUCAGAUGUUCAGACACCCAAAUGCCAUCUAAAAAGAAGGAUUCAACCAGCCUUUGGAGCAGACCAUGAUGUUCCAAAACGCAAGAAGUUCCCUGCUUCUAACAUGUCUGUAAAUGAUGCCACAUCAUCUGAAGAGAAAUCUGAGGCUAAAGGAGCUGAAGUAAAUGCAGUAACUUCUAAUCGAAGUGAUCCUUUGAAAGAUGACCCUCACAUGAGUAGUAAUGUAACUAGCAAUGAUAGGCUUGGAGAAGAGACAAAUGCAGUAUCUGGACCAGAAGAGUUGUCAGUGAUUAGUGGAAAUGGGGAAUGUUCAAAUUCUUCAGGAACAGGCAAAACUUCUAGGCCAUCUGGUGAUGAAAGCAUUGAUGAAAAGUUAGGUCUUUCUUACAAAAGAGAAGGACCCAGCCAGGCUCAAACAGAAGCUUUUUGGGAGAAUAAACAAAUGGAAAAUAAUUUUUAUAAGCACAAGUCAAAAACAAAACAUCAUAGUGUGGCAGAAGAAGAGACCCUGGAGAAACAUCUGAGACCAAAGCAAAAGCCUAAGAACUCUAAGCAUUGCAGAGACGCCAAGUUUGAAGGAACUCGAAUUCCACACCUGGUGAAGAAAAGGCGUUACCAGAAGCAAGACAGUGAAAACAAGAGUGAGGCCAAGGAACAGAGCAAUGACGAUUAUGUUUUGGAAAAGCUUUUCAAAAAAUCAGUUGGCGUGCACAGUGUCAUGAAGCACGAUGCCAUCAUGGAUGGAGCCAGCCCAGAUUAUGUACUGGUGGAGGCAGAAGCCAACCGAGUGGCCCAGGAUGCCCUGAAAGCACUGAGGCUCUCUCGUCAGCGGUGUCUGGGAGCAGUGUCUGGUGUUCCCACCUGGACUGGCCACAGGGGGAUUUCUGGUGCACCAGCAGGAAAAAAGAGUAGAUUUGGUAAGAAAAGGAAUUCUAACUUCUCUGUGCAGCAUCCUUCAUCAACAUCUCCAACAGAGAAGUGCCAGGAUGGCAUCAUGAAAAAGGAGGGAAAAGAUAAUGUCCCUGAGCAUUUUAGUGGAAGAGCAGAAGAUGCAGACUCUUCAUCCGGGGCCCUCGCUUCCUCCUCACUCUUGGCUAAAAUGAGAGCUAGAAACCACCUGAUUCUGCCAGAGCGUUUAGAAAGUGAAAGCGGGCACCUGCAGGAAGCUUCUGCCCUGCUGCCCACCACAGAACACGAUGACCUUCUGGUGGAGAUGAGAAACUUCAUCGCUUUCCAGGCCCACACUGAUGGCCAGGCCAGCACCAGGGAGAUACUGCAGGAGUUUGAAUCCAAGUUAUCUGCAUCACAGUCUUGUGUCUUCCGAGAACUAUUGAGAAAUCUGUGCACUUUCCAUAGAACUUCUGGUGGUGAAGGAAUUUGGAAACUCAAGCCAGAAUACUGCUAAACAACAUUGCUUCCUAAACUUUCAAGU